rnacentral:rRNA from 1 species
AUACGAAAGGUGCAAGCGUUGUUCGGAUUUACUGGGCGUAAAGAGAGUGUAGGUGGUUUAUUAAGUCGGAUGUGAAAUCCCGGGGCUCAACCUCGGAACUGCAUUCGAUACUGAUAGGCUAGAGUUUGGGAGGGGUAAGCGGAAUUCCGUGUGUAGCAGUGAAAUGCGUAGAUAUACGGAGGAACACCUGAGGCGAAGGAGGCUUACUGGACCAAUACUGACACUGAGACUCGAAAGCGUGGGUAGCAAACAGGAUUAGAUACCCUAGUAGUCC